rnacentral:rRNA from 1 species
CCUACGGGGGGCUGCAGUAGGGAAUAUUGGUCAAUGGGUGAGAGCCUGAACCAGCCAUGCCGCGUGCAGGAAGACGGCCUUCUGGGUUGUAAACUGCUUUUAUCUGGGGAUAAAAAUGCCUUGCGAGGCACAUUGAAGGUACCAGAUGAAUAAGCACCGGCUAACUACGUGCCAGCAGCCGCGGUAAUCCGUAGGGUGCAAGCGUUUUCUGGGUUUAUUGGGUUUAAAGGCUGCCUAGUCGGUCAGUGAUGAAAUCCAAAAGCUCAACUGUUGAUGUGCCAAUGAUACUGAUGGACUUGAGUACAGACGAGGUAGGCGGAAUUGACAGUGUAGCGGUGAAAUGCAUAGAUAUUGUCAAGAACACCGAUAGCGAAGGCAGCUUGCUAGCCUGUAACUGACGCUGAGGCACGAAAGUAUGGGGAUCAAACAGGAUUAGAUACCCGGGUAGUC